rnacentral:rRNA from 1 species
UACGUAGGGGGGCAAGCGUUGUCCGGAAUUAUUGGGCGUAAAGCGCGUGUAGGCGGCUCGGUAAGUCUGCUGUGAAAGUCCAGGGCUCAACCCUGGGAUGCCGACCGAUACUGUCGGACUAGAGUUCGGAAGAGGCGAGUGGAAUUCCCGGUGUAGCGGUGAAAUGCGCAGAUAUCGGGAGGAACACCAAUGGCGAAGGCAGCUCGCUGGGACGUUACUGACGCUGAGACGCGAAAGCGUGGGGAGCAAACAGG